UGUCCGUCUGUCCCCGGCCGUCUGUCCCCAUCCGUGUCCGUCUGUCUGUCCCUGUCUGUCCCCAUCCCUGUCCGUUUGUCCCCAUCCGUGUCCGCCUGUCCCUGUCCCCCUCCGUGUCCAUCUGUGUCCGUCUGUCCCCAUCCGUGUCCGUCUGUCCCCGUCCUUGUCCGUCUGUCCCCGGCCGUCUGUCCCCAUCCGUGUCCGUCUGUCCCUGUCUGUCCCCCUCCCUGUCCGUCUGUCCCCAUCCGUGUCCGUCUGUCCCUGUCCUUGUCCGUCUGUCCCUGUCCCCAUCUGUCCCUGUCCCCAUCCCUGUCCGUCUGUCCCCAUCCCGUCUGUCCCCAUCUGUGUCCGUCUGUCCCUGUCCCCGCCCCUGUCCGUCUGUCCCUGUCUGUCCCCAUCCGUGUCCGUCUGUCCCCGUCCUUGUCCGUCUGUCCCUGUCCCCAUCCAUGUCCGUCUGUCCGUCCCCAUCUGUCCCUGUCCCCAUCCCUGUCCGUCUGUCCCCAUCCGUGUCCGUCUGUCCCUGUCCCCGCCCCUGUCCGUCUGUCCCUGGCCGUCUGUCCCCAUCCGUGUCCCUGUCCCCAUCCGUGUCCGUCUGUCCCUGUCCCCAUCCCUGUCCGUCUGUCCCUACCCGUGUCCGUCUGUCUGUCCCCAUCCGCCCCUCCCCGUCCCUGUCCGUCUGUCUGUCCCUGUCCGUCUGUCCCCAUCCCUGUCCGUCUGUCCCUGUCCCUGUCUGUCUGUCCCCGUCCGUGUCCGUCGGUCUGUCCCCAUCCGUGUCCGUCCCCACGUCUCAGCCCCACGUCUCAGCCCCACGUCUCAGCCCCACAUCGCAGCCCUCAGCCCCACAUCUCAGCCCCACAUCUCAGCCCCACAUCUCAGCCCCACAUCGCAGCCC
rnacentral:lncRNA from 1 species